UACGUAGGGUGCAAGCGUUAAUCGGAAUUACUGGGCGUAAAGCGUGCGCAGGCGGCUUUGCAAGACAGAUGUGAAAUCCCCGGGCUUAACCUGGGAACUGCAUUUGUGACUGCAUGGCUGGAGUGCGGCAGAGGGGGAUGGAAUUCCGCAUGUAGCAGUGAAAUGCGUAGAUAUGCGGAGGAACACCGGUGGCGAAGGCAAUCCCCUGGGCCUGCACUGACGCUCAUGCACGAAAGCGUGGGGAGCAAACAGG
rnacentral:rRNA from 1 species